UACGUAGGGGGCAAGCGUUGUCCGGAAUCAUUGGGCGUAAAGCGCGUGUAGGCGGCCCGGUAAGUCCGCUGUGAAAGUCGGGGGGCUCAACCCUCGAAUGCCGGUGGAUACUGUCGGGCUAGAGUGCGGAAGAGGCGAGUGGAAUUCCUGGUGUAGCGGUGGAAUGCGCAGAUAUCAGGAGGAACACCGAUGGCGAAGGCAGAUCUCUGGACGGUGACUGACGCUGAGACGCGAAAGCGUGGGGAGCAAACAGG
rnacentral:rRNA from 1 species